rnacentral:rRNA from 1 species
AGCUCUGUAAGCGUAUACCAAAGUUGUUGCAGUUAAAACGCUCGUAGUCGGAUUUUGGCGUGGUGCUACUGAGGUCCCUGAUUGGGCUCCGAGGUUAGUCCCGCCUUUGUGGAUGAGGGCGUGGUGGUGCUUAACUGUAUUGCCGCGUUUUCGCCACUGUUUACUGUGAAAAAAUUAGAGUGUUCAAAGCAGGCAUUCAUCGUGCCCGAAUACAUGAGCAUGGAAUAAUGGAACAGGACUACGGUCACUGCACUUUUUCCGUUGGUUUCGGAGGACCGAAGUAAUGAUUAAGAGGGACAGUUGGGGGCAUCCGUAUUUCGUAGUCAGAGGUGAAAUUCUUGGAUCUGCGAAAGACGAACGAGUGCGAAAGCAUUUGCCAAGAGUGUUUUCAUUAAUCAAG